GCCUAGGCCGGCUGUAUGUUUACGUGAAACGGUGUAAAAAUUUUCACCACAUCAAAUUUUCACCUCGAGUGCCGUGUUCGGUGUUGGGCCCCUCGCUGCAGGAAAGACACGGAGGUGCUGGAGCGUGUCCAGAGAAGGGCAACGGAGCCGGAGAUUUUGGAGAAAGGAACGCAGUUCCUGCAGUUUGAUGAGUUGUGACGAGACCUCCUCUGCAGAGUCCAGGGAGACCGGCAAGGACACAUGUUGGCUGUAAUCCUUGAACCCAAGAGCUGCCCUUGUGCAGGGAAAUCGGAGGCGGAAUUUGUACAAGUGUGCUUGGCAUGGCUACGCUUUAGCAACUCGCGCGGCCACAAGCACCGAAGUACUGAAUACGAGGAAAGUUUGGACUACAACAUGAACUGUGCAUCUGUAUAAGCUCACGUAAGAGAGUGCAACACUAUUCAAGUCAACUUUUGUAAAUGUUGGUUUGAAGAACAGUGUUUUUUUCCCUGCUAAAUCUGAGCUUCAUCAUUCAUGGUAUUCUGCACUGGAGUAAUAGUAUUGGAGCAGUUGCUUUAUAAUAAUGAUGGAAAAGCCACAGGCUAGAGGAAGCAUUCAGAAGCAUUGGUAUUUCUAUGACUGCUUUGGAAUACGUUCAGCACUUAUUUCCUCCUUAUGCAUAUGAAUUUACCCAAGCACAGCAAGGUUUUGUUGCAUGCAUCCGGUUCACUGCUCUGCAUGUGGAAGUUUGUUAUAAUGAAAAACACAGGAAUCUCGACAACAAAAGCCCGGCUGACGUGUGGGUGAAACUGGCAGAUAACCUGGCUGCUCCGUGAAGCCUGGAUCUCGAUGGCGUGCCCUGUUCCCACUCAUCUGAGCAGCAAGCUCACAAGGGCACACAAGGAUGAUGGCAUCUCAGGUGAAGACUUACUUACAGGAGCAGCUGUAUUGAGUUUAGAAGCACAUUCAAGUGAGUAAACAUUGCAUAAACUCUAAACAACAUAGCAAAUGAACUUUCCAGUGACAGCCCCCCAAAUCAUUUGGUUUAUUAAUUUAGUAGACCAACCAUCUGUGCAUAUUGUGAACUGUCCCAUGGCAUGUCUGGAACUCUGAAGAGGAAAUAAUAUUUUCUAGUGAACAACUAGAGGAAACAUAUAUUUCAGGGAUUAUGAGAGUGGGAAAAAACUCAGGCUAUGUGUGUCUUCUACAUAGUGAUGAUUUGAAAAUUUUGCAUUCUACAAUAACCAAGCUCUUUACUAAAUGGUUGUGGCAGGAGCCUCAUAGUAGGUCUGAAUGAUGGAAACACCACACGCACCAUUUCCGUAGCCAUUGAACUCUUGCGUGAGUCAUUACAGCUGUUCUCACAAUCAUGGAAAGUCUGCAAACAGAGGUGCUGCUGUGGCAUCCUAACAACAUAUGAAUAAAGUGGAGAUACACCCAUUCAUUGGUUCUGGAUGAAGAUACGGUUUCUAACUGGUACCAUCUGACUACAUCCAACUUUUAUUUGAAUAUGAUUUUUUGUUGCAACUGUUUUGGUAGUUUUGGUUGAACAUUCCACAUUUUAAUUACCAUCAGGCGAGAAAUAUUUCAGUUCUGCUUCCUAAAAGCUCAUCUCUCUUCCCAACCCUUCACUGACGGUCUUUCUGUCAGCUAGAUUCUUGCUCAAACUGCCUGCCUCAGAAUUGAUCAAAUCUCAGAUAUGUCCAUCCUUAAUCUCCUUCCCUACGGUCUCAUUACCUGGUAUAAUGUUUUGGACCUUCAAAUCCACAGUGAUCAUUCUCUUAAUGAUUUUCUGAAUUAUUAAUAUUCCCAUUUUACAGAAGCCCGGAGAGUCUUGUACAAGGUUACUUAAGAGGCUCAGCCUGUAUCUUCAAAUCCAUCAUCUAUGCCUUAGUUAUGUUCUCCCCUCAAGCUUUCUAAGGAACAAAACUCUUGCUUUCCUAGUAUUUUCAGAUAAUUAUAAUUAUGGCUGAGACUAAUAAACACAAAGUUAAGAACUUUGAUCUCCAAGGCUGCUUAAAUUUGAGAUUAAUUUUGUGACUAGGUGAGGAUUUUUUUUUAAGGGAAAAAGUCUUUUUAAAGCAGAGACCAUUUAAUGAGGGAGCAAGAAUAAGACUAUAGGUGAUCAGUCACACUGCUUGACAGCUGAAUUAUAAAGAUUAAUUCUCCAGUAAUGUUGGUGAGGCACUUUUCAGAAACUUCCCAAAAGAAAUUAAUUCACUGAUUCACUGAAGGUUUCUGAAUGCUGAAUACAUAGAAACUGUUUUGUAAAGCUAACUUGACGCACUCCAAAGAGCUGAUUCAUUCUGAGAGGUUCUUUCAUGAAAUAUCUUCUCUCGGCUUUUUUUUUUUUUAAAGACAAAAUGUCCUUUCACCCCUCUUCAGAACUGUUUUUUACUGCUUUUCAGCAUCCAUGUGCUCUCUCCCUGGAGACUUCUCUGAGCCAGCCAUGAAAUGAGUACCCCCCAGAAAGACAGAGUGCAAGUUUAUUGCAGCUUACAUCAUCCCUGACAUAAUGAUCUCUACCUCUGAAAUGGGAACGCAGAUUCAAGUCCAUUCUAUUAUCUGAUUUUUUUAUUCCAAAUUACUUGCAUUAAGUGUCUUCUUUAUUUGGAACUUUUUAGCCCAGAUUACUCAGAUACCAAAUUAAAAUGACAACUAAUGCCAAAUUAAUAGACAGUCAUGUGCUUGGAUGCCUGUAAUAAUUUUAGUUCUCUGAUCACCUCUUGAUGACAUGCAGAUAAUUCUCCACCAUGGUGUUUCUCUCGUUAUUCAUCUCUCUACUGAUGUGUGCUUCAUUCCUUGUUAAUGUGUUUCAGGGCUUGUUUGCUCUUCUAGCUGUUGCAGCCAUAGAGAGGCUGUUUUAUAUUAUUCUAUAAGCUACAGUCCUUUAUGGAGCACUUA